UCAAGUCCUCAUGGCCUUUAUGCCCAGGGCUACACACGUGCUACAAUGGGUGGUACAAAGAGAUGCAAUCUCGCAAGAGCAAGCAAACCUCAAAAAGCCAUCCUCAGUUCGGAUUGGAGUCUGCAACUCGACUCCAUGAAGUCGGAAUCGCUAGUAAUCGCGGAUCAGCACGCCGCGGUCGAAUACGUUCCCGGGCCUU
rnacentral:rRNA from 1 species